rnacentral:sRNA from 1 species
UCUGCCCGGCUCCCGGGCGCCGGGGGUCCCAUCCACUUCUCCCUACCUUCUCCCUCUCCUGUUGGAGAGGCCAGGGGCUCCCGCGACUGAAAGGGGCCAGGCUGAGGCUGCCCAAUUCCAGAGACAGGAAGAACAUUUUGGAUGGAUCGCGGGGUGCAGAAAAAGGAAGUUGAGCGACAGACGCGAAGCCCAAAGCGUGGAAUUUGGGAAGAGGCAGAAAAAAAGUGGGUGAAGAGGGAGAGAAAAAACAAGCGACGAGUUGGGGAGGGACAAGAAGUUUGGGGAGGAUAGAGAAAAAGAGAAACUACCUGGAAAACGAGUUGCAAGACAAUUGAAAAGUGAAUGAGAAGGAAAGAGAGGAAGGGAGUAAAAUCAAAUAGAACUGUGGAGAGAGGGCUGGGACACGGCUUUCUCUGGUUCUGUCGUCCAGGAGAUUGGAAAAGCUCUCCCCUCCCGGGACCAGGCGUGCGGGAUGUCGGGUGCCCCUCCCGGGAGGCCGAGGACUCCGGGCCGGAGCCUGACUGUGUGUUCCUGUUUGCCGGUGUGUUGGUGAAAACCCUGUGUCCUUGGAGAAAGCUGGUUCCCGUUUUCCAGAGGGGGAGCCCAGAGCUUGAAAGGCCGCGGUUGGCACUUCGAGAAGGAAGUGGAGAGUAAAGACAGUGCCUGGAGUGAUCGUAGAAACACAGAAUGGGACUGGGGAAGCCCUUUGGAAAUCCAGCUGCAGAAACAGACACCCCAAUGCUAUUUACAUACAGCUCUCUAUAUAUAAAAAAAUAUGAAUAUUACGUAUCAGUGCAUGCCUUGUUGAGGACGUGGUUGCCUUCCUUUUCUGCACCUUGCGAUGUGAACUUUGAUAUUCUGUAAUGUCUGGGGCGCCAGA